rnacentral:lncRNA from 1 species
AAUGUUCCUACCCAAUUGAUUCUCGACUUCCUGUUUAAGUUCUUUAAACCUUUCAAAAGUCUUUGACUUAUGCUUGAUUAAAUAGACAUAUCCAUAUCUACUGUAAUCGUCAUUAAAAGUUAAAUAAUAACGAUUAGCACCCUUGUGGCAUGCUUGAAGGGUCCACACACAUCCGUGUGUACAAGAUCCAAAAAAACCUUCACCCCUUUCACAGGAACCUGUGAAGGGUGACUUUGUCAUUUUUCCAAGUAAGCAUGAUUUGCAACUAUCAUCUGACUUUAGGUUAAAUGACUCCAAGACUCCAUCCUUUUGGAGUUGGCCUAUGCGUUUCUUGCUUAUAUGUCCAAGACGACAAUGCCAUAAUGAUGCUUUAUCCAAGUUAUUAUCAUUAACAUAAUCAAUACACAAUACAUUAAUUCCUAAGUUAUCAACCACAGAUACAGUUUCAUACACACCAUCAUAAGGUAAUGCUUUAAAAUAAAGAACAUUAUUAAAGAAAGCAUUAAUCGUACCAACUUCAUUAUCAAAUGAAAAGGUGAAACCUUGUUUAUAGAAUGCAUGAAAGGAAAUAAUAUUUCUUGCCAUUUCUGGCGAAUAGCAACACUUAUUCAAAUCUAAACUAAACCCACUACUUAGCGAUAAAGUAUAAACUCCAAUCUUGGUGACAGGUAAAGCUUUCCUAUUCCCCAUGAUUAAGUUUAUUCUUCCAUGCUCCACAUUCUCACUUCUUCUNUUAUUCAAAUCUAAACUAAACCCACUACUUAGCGAUAAAGAAUAAACUCCAAUCUUGGUGACAGGUAAAGCUUUCCUAUUCCCCAUGAUUAAGUUUAAUCUUCC